CGUGGCCAUUAGUUCAUCUCCAUCCUACAGCCAUGGGAGGUUCUUCCAAUUUUAAUUUAAUUGUCCGAAAAUUCCAUAACCCUAAACGACAUUCUUCGUCUUUCUCGUACCCCUUCUGCUGCACCACCGUUUGCCGCCGACGGAAAUCGCCCACGGCGGCGGGGAAGUUCUAAUCCACUCCAAAAUUUCACCAUAGGUCCCUCCCCUCCUCUUCCCAUUUUUGUUGAUGGUUUUCUUCGAAUUACACAUAGGCUCGUAAAAUUUUGAAUCAAAGAUUAUGCAAAAAUUCGAAACCUCCCCAAACCUCUUCGAAUUAACACAACGUCAUUGCCUCAUGCCCUCAUGGAGGAACUCAUAACCACUAAUGUUCAACGCACGCUCAAGGCGUGCAAAGUUUGAACAAAAAAGGCGGCCAGAGGUCAAGUCCAGCCGUGAGUCUCCGUCUUUUUUUUUAUCUUCUCUGAUUCUGUUUGUCUAAUUAGAACAAUACUGUUUGUCUAAUUAGAGGUCAAGUCCGUGAAAUACUGCUUAGGUGUAGUUUAGUUCAGUUUUAACAGUGAUUCAACUUUGUUUUCUCUUUAGUGUAAUUUAAUUCUAGUUCGAAUGUGUCCAGUUCUGUUAAUUGUUAGUUGUCAACCUAGUUAGUUCAAGUAAUUAGUUACUAGACUAAUCGAAAUUGGGUCAGUUAUGAUAAUGGCAAUGUGAUUAGGUAUUUUUUUAGAUUCUUAAUAGUUAACUUCAUUUGUUAGAUCAAUAAUAUUUUGUUAGCUAUUUGAUAAUUAGUAAUUAGUAGUUCUUUGAGUCAGUUAAGCAUGGUUAUUAUGCAAACUUAGUGAUUGUUCUUCAAUAAUUGGUAAAUCAUAAUUUUAGGAAAUUAUUUGGUCAUAGUUAGUAAUUUUGGUUGAACAAGAGGGGUAAUUGCUGUAAUACAAGGGUAGGGAAUCUUCUAAUAUCUGAAUGGAGUCCUCUAGGACAUUCUAGAUGGGGUUCACUUUAGCUAUAAACUUUGGUGGUAUAAUUUGGGAAACAAGUCAGUUCUUUAGGGAUACUUAAGCAAAAACGAAAAUUAGGAAAGAGUGUAAUGCAAAACUGAAAAUCUGAGGGUUGCCUUUAAUUUUUGCCUAUAUAAGGAACCUUUUAGUGCCUUAAUUGACAAGUUUUGCAGCCCAAAAUUCCCCCGAAAGCCUCCCCAUAGAUCUGAAUCUGAUUUUUGAAUUUCAGAAUGAAUAGGAGUUCAAAUUUUUAGUUUCAGAUUUGAGAUAUUAUAGAAAACCCAAAAACAAUGCAAAUAUUGUCCAGAAGAAAAAAAAUACUACUAUUCCAUUGAAACUAAAGGUUGAUUUCAAUUUCUGUUUGUUAGUUCACGGGGUGUAGUUAUUAUUGUUGUCUGUUAAAGGGUAGAGGUUCAAUUGAAUCGAGUUAAAUGGGUGAUGGGUUAUCUGUACAUCAUAGAUGCAUUUCUGAUUUGAUUUGUUGAUGAACCUGGAGUCUGUUUAGUUUGGAGUGCUUUGAAUUCUGAUAUGUGAAGUCAUAAGGAAAUUUGAAUUCGAUUUCGGGUGCAAUUUGAUUGCUUUGUGGUUGAAAUCUCCUUGUCAUUUGGUUUCAAACUCAUUCCUGGGCUGCAUUUCAUUAUCUGCUCACUGCUGCUGUGCUAAUCUCCUCUUCUGUUGAAAUUCUGAUUCCCAUGUACAUUGGUGAAACUUUGGGCAAUUGUAAACUGAAAACCUGAAGAUUAAACAUAUAUAAAAGAUUGAAGUUCUGAAUUAGUCCUUGUCCGAUUUGUAUAGUUAAAAUUAUUCUCAUUAGAAUUUGUUGUAUUGGCAGUAUUUGGUUUGAGAUUGAGUUAACAAAAAAUGUUAAACAUAGUUCACUAUUACCUGUUGGCUGAAUAGUUUUAUCCUUGUGUAGUUAAAAGUAGGGUCAUCCUGGAUUGCUAGCGUAAUUGGGACUGCAAAUCGUUGUGGACUGUUAAUUGACUCAUAGAUUAGUUUGAUUACAAUAGGUCAAUAGUAGUUGAUUUCAUGAUUUGAGUAAAGAGCAGCCUAUGUUGAUUUUAACUAGUUUCCUACUAGCUAUUGCAAAUUUGAUUUAAAUUUCAGUAGCGGUAGAUUAAAGCCUGGACCCUAUUCACAUGAACAAACUACCACAAUUCCAUAUGUUUUUCUCUUCCUGCCUUCAGUUGGACUAGCAUGCUCAUUUAGUCAGUAAUAAAGCGCUAUAAUUCCAUAUAGCCAUUUGCUUAAAUAAUGGACAAAGUAUGAUUAGUCAUGUUGUGGUGAGGCUGAAACUCUUAAAUUUGAUCACUUCUGAAUUUUUGUUUUAAAUAAACUCACAACUGCAAAUCUUUGUUUAGGAUUCGUUGAUUGUCUUAAGUGUUGUGGUGAAGGUUUGGUGCCACGUCCUUUGGGCUCUUUAUAAGGCCCAGUUCUGGGAAUAAUCUUUUUAGUGGCCCAAAUUAUGCCCAACUAAGGGCUGUUCAGAUAAGUUCGCCGGCUCCAGCUUGGGCAUCUUAUCAGCAUUGUUAAGUGAAUUAGGUGGCGUUUCCGUAUAUGUAGAGAUGCAGAAAAUAGA
rnacentral:lncRNA from 1 species